AAGUCGUAACAAGGUUUCCGUAGGUGAACCUGCGGAAGGAUCAUUAGCACUGUUUGUUUGGGCUCGGCUAACGCCUGCCUGAAUAUCCAAACCCCUGUGAGCAUAUUGUUAUUUUUGUUGUUGGGCUGUCUUGUCCUUUGUAUCCUUUUGUGAUACACAGGCUCGAUAGAUCCCUUUUCACUUUUUUAAACCCCAACCACCUUUUACAAAACAUUAUAUCAAAGACUGAACGUGGUCGUCUCUGCCUAAGAAACAGAGCAUGCCCACAAAUCAUUAUAUCUAAUAAGAAACAAUUCUUAGCAACGGAUAUCUUGGUUCCC
rnacentral:misc_RNA from 1 species